UACAGAGGGUGCAAGCGUUGUUCGGAAUUAUUGGGCGUAAAGCGCGUGUAGGCGGCUUUGCAAGUCGGGUGUGAAAGCCCUCAGCUUAACUGAGGAAGUGCGCCUGAAACUGCAGAGCUUGAGUACCGGAGAGGAUGGCGGAAUUCCCCAAGUAGAGGUGAAAUUCGUAGAUAUGGGGAGGAACACCGGUGGCGAAGGCGGCCAUCUGGACGGAUACUGACGCUGAGACGCGAAAGCCAGGGGAGCAAACGGG
rnacentral:rRNA from 1 species